UAGGGAAUAUUGCGCAAUGGACGAAAGUCUGACGCAGCGACGCCGCGUGAGUGAUGAAGGCCUUAGGGUCGUAAAGCUCUGUUGAAUGGGAAGAAAUAAAUGAUUUUUCCAUCCGAGGAAGGACCGGCUAACUUCGUGC
rnacentral:rRNA from 1 species